UACCACGGAGUGAUUCAUGACUGGGGUGAAGUCGUAACAAGGUAGCCCUAGGGGAACCUGGGGCUGGAUCACCUCCUUAUACGA
rnacentral:rRNA from 3 species